rnacentral:misc_RNA from 1 species
UCCGGCUUGACGCCGGCAGUCCCCCGAGAGUCCUCAGCCAUGCAGCACCUGUGCCGGCUCCCGAAGGAGCGCCGUGUUUCCACGGUUUCACCCGGCAUGUCAAGCCCUGGUAAGGUUCUUCGCGUCGCGUCGAAUUGAGCCACAUGCUCCGCUGCUUGUGCGGGCCCCCGUCAAUUCUUUUGAGUUUUAGCCUUGCGGCCGUACUCCCCAGGCGGGACACUUAACGCGUUAACUGCGGCACAGAGGGAUUCGACUCCCCCCACACCUAGUGUCCAUCGUUUACGGCUAGGACUAC